CCCAGACCAGGACUCCUUUUGUCUUCUUUGCUCCUGCUGGACUGAAGCCACCAUUUCUCUGAAAGCUCUGUUUCUAGGCAGAGUCCUGGCACCCCUCCAAGAAACACCACCCAGCCCCUCAUUCCGGGUGCUCACUGACUCCUCCGCCAAACCAGGCACUUGGACGUGCAUGCCAGGAAAAGACUGCAUUGGGAAUUGGUUGCUAGUCCCAGCUCUGCCUCCAGUGAGCGAGGUGAGCUCAGGUAAGUCCCUUUGGCCCUUCAUACUGUAGCUUCCCGAUGUGUCAGGCCCAUUUCUACAGAUACUUAAUGAAUACUUCCAGCAAGCCAGGCAAAAGUUACAAGGGAAACUGAGUCACCACCUCUGCCCCCUAGACACUCAUCUAAUCACGGAGACAGAAAUGUCAACCAGUCAUUAAGAUACAUACAGGAUUGUAGUUUCAGGGGAAGAACAGAUGCUCCUCUACUCACAUAGCGGUUACAGCCCAAUAAAGCCAUCAUAAGUUGAAAAUAUCUUUAAGUCAAAAAUGUAUUUAUGGUGGCUCACGCCUAUAGCCCAGCACUUUGGGAGGCCAAGGCAGGAGGAU
rnacentral:lncRNA from 10 species